rnacentral:sRNA from 20 species
UUCACUGUUUACUGAAAACUUAAAACUACAACUCAUUAGACUUUUGCAGAUAUAGUCUCAUGUAAAGCGAAAAAGAAAUCUGUA